rnacentral:misc_RNA from 1 species
CUGACUUCUAGCGGUGACGUCUGACAGCUACUGCUGGCUCAGCUGUCCAGCCGCUGUGGUCGUCCGAACGACGAAAGGCUAAUUAACCCACGCGGUACCGACGUUGCCAAAUGUUGAUAUCUUCAUCCUUCUGUCAAAGUCACAGGCAAUGUGAGGUUAUGAGUUAUUUGUUGUUUUCUUGUCACAGAGCUAGCAAAAUGAUGAUUUUAUUUUUAUUGUGGAAUUGGAAGAAGGAAAUAAAGAAAAGGUUGAUUAUGGUGAAGAAGUAAAACAAAAUUACUUAUAUGCUAAGUUUAUUGAAGAGUGAAGAUCUUGAACAAGAGAUAACGCAAACAUCUAGGAGAUUUUUGAUGAGUUGCCAAUCCUGCGUUCUUAGAAAAAAGCCAGUCCCAGAAGGAAACUACCAAUAAUAAAGUAGAGAAUUUAUUACACCAAAGAACAAAGCUAAUCCUCAACAUAGAUCAACUGAUCCACAUAGAAAAGGAGGAGCAAAGGGCACAACAGAAGCAGGCCAGACAAAAGAAAAUGACAGAAGAGAGACACAGAAAAGAAAUUACUUUAUUAAAUUUAAAAAUUAAAUUAUGCAAAGGACAAUUAAAUAAAGAAUAAAAAAAUCAAACAUGUGUA